GCGCGGCCGGGGGCCCCGGACGGGUCGCCGCCUUCUCGAGGCGGCCGGUCGUCCUGCGGCGGCCGGUCGUCCUGCGGCGGCCGGUCGUCCU
rnacentral:tRNA from 1 species